UACGAAGGGGGCUAGCGUUGCUCGGAAUUACUGGGCGUAAAGCGCACGUAGGCGGCUUUCUAAGUCGGGGGUGAAAUCCUGGAGCUCAACUCCAGAACUGCCUUUGAUACUGAGGAGCUCGAGUCCGGGAGAGGUGAGUGGAACUCCGAGUGUAGAGGUGAAAUUCGUAGAUAUUCGGAAGAACACCAGUGGCGAAGGCGGCUCACUGGUCCGGUACUGACGCUGAGGUGCGAAAGCGUGGGGAGCAAACAGG
rnacentral:rRNA from 1 species